rnacentral:lncRNA from 1 species
ACGAUACAGUUUUGAACCUGUAUUUACAAGUUGAUGAAAAUUUGCAUAUAGGCUAUUUUUUACCUGAUUAAAUCAAAUAUGUAAUAAAAAAUAUACCUUCAUGUGCUACUUUUUGAGUAAAAUAAGGUCGAAAUUUUGUAUAUUUGCUCAAAAUUCAGAUUUGUGUCCGUAUUUUCUUUUUCGAAAGAAAGACAUAACUUUU